CGGGAUGACAGAGAGAGCAGUGAGCACGCAACAGCGACGGCACCCCGACGAUGCGAUCGCCGCUGCGUGCUCACUCUCUUCUGUCAACCCC
rnacentral:miRNA from 15 species